AUGCGGAUAUGCAAGACCAACUACAAGCCGGACGAUCGGUGCUUCUUCUGCGACGACGGACAGGAGACGCUGCAUGGCGUGCGAUGGCUCGUGCUCCGCUCCGACAACUACUUCGUGCCGGGCCUCUUCUUCCUCCCGCGGUACGAGGAAGAGCUGGUCCGGCUGUUCCCGCGCCGCGACACCGUGUUCCACCACCUCGGGCGGUACCUGUUCCACCCGAGCAACACAGUGUGGGGCAUGGCGACGCGGUACUACAGCUCGUACCUCGCCCCAGCGGAGGAGCGCGCGGGUGGGCGUCCAGGUACGCGAGUUCAACCGACGCACCUGGGCACGCAGCACUCGGAGAAGCGGCAGCACAACCAGAAGGCGUUGGCUGAGAUAGUGUUGCUCAGCUUUUCGGACGUGGUCGUCACGUCCGCCCAAUCCACGUUCGGCUACGUCAGCCAGGGGCUGGCCGGGCUGAGGCCCUGGGUGCUCAUGCUCCCCGUCGACGGGAAGGUCCCCGAUCCGCCGUGUCGUCUCGCCUCCACCAUCGAGCCCUGCUUCAUGAAGCCGCCGCACUAUGACUGCCGGACCAGGGGAGACAGCGACAACGGCAAGCUAGUCCCCUACAUCCGGCAGUGCGAGGAUGUAUCGUAUGGCGUUCAGUUGGUGGAGUAA
rnacentral:rRNA from 1 species